rnacentral:rRNA from 1 species
CUCAGGAUGAACGCUAGCGGCAGGCUUAAUACAUGCAAGUCAAGGGGGUAGCAAUACAACCGGCGCACGGGUGAGUAACGCGUACACAACAUACCAUAUACUGGAGUAUAGCUUUGGGAAACUGAAGGUAAUCCUCCAUAACAUUGCGAGAGGGCAUCUGAUUGCAAUUAAAGUUUCGGCGGUAUAUGAUUGGUGUGCGUUUGAUUAGCUAGUUGGUAGGGUAACGGCCUACCAAGGCGACGAUCAAUAGCUGGCGUGAGAGCGCGACCAGCCACACUGGAACUGAGACACGGUCCAGACUCCUACGGGAGGCAGCAGUAGGGAAUAUUGGACAAUGGAGGAAACUCUGAUCCAGCCAUGCCGCGUGAUAGAUGAAGGCCCUCUGGGUUGUAAAUAUCUUUUAUCUGGGAAGAAACACUCCUAUUCUUAGGAACUUGACGGUACCAGAGGAAUAAGCACCGGCUAACUCCGUG